UCAAAGAAAAUAAAAAGAAAUCACCAAAAAAAGUUUUAAGUGGAAAAAGGAAAAAGAAGUUUUGAAUCAAGAUAUAUAACCAUGAACUUAUGCUCUCUUAUCUUCAAAGGAACUUUUGAAGGUAACAAAAACACAAGAAAUGGGAGUUUGAAUUGUGUUUCUAUAGAGAAAAAAUUUGCUACCCAAAAUAAUAAAGAGAGAACUUAGAAUAAAAAAAAUAAAGACAAAUAUUUUUAUCCUGGUUCG
rnacentral:lncRNA from 1 species